rnacentral:rRNA from 1 species
CAGUAGUCAUAUGCUUGUCUCAAAGAUUAAGCCAUGCACGUGUAGGUACAGGCUUUCAUACAGUGAAACUGCGAAUGGCUCAUUAAAUCAUAUGUGAUUUCUUAGAUCGUAACCGUUGCCUGCGGGUGACGGGUCGGAUAACUGUGGUAAUUCUAGAGCUAAUACAUGCAAUCAAGCUCUGACCUUCGGGGACGAGCGCUCUUAUUAGACCAAGGCCAACCUGUGGGGCAACCUGCAGUUUGCUGUGGUGACUCUGGAUAAACCUAGCUGAUCGCACGACCUUUGUGUCGGCGACGUAUCUUUCAAGCGUAUGCCCUAUCAUUUAUCGACGUUAAGGUAUGUGCCUAACGUGAAUGCAACGGGUAGCGAGGAAUCAGGGUUCGAUUUCGGAGAGGGGGCAUGAGACAUGGCCGCCACAUCCAAGGAAGGCAGCAGGCGCGCAAAUUACCCACUCCCGACACGGGGAGGUAGUGACGAAAAAUAACAAUACGGGACUCUUUCGAGGCCCCGUAAUUGGAAUGAGCACAAUUUAAAUCCUUUAGCGAGGAUCUAUUGGAGGGCAAGUCUGGUGCCAGCAGCCGCGGUAAUUCCAGCUCCAAUAGCGUAUAUUAAAGUUGCUGCAGUUAAAAAGCUCGUAGUUGGAUCUCGGGUCACGGCGAGGCGGUCCUGUUCACGCAGGCUACUGCCCAGUCGGCCUAACCAGUGGUUGUCUUCUUCGGGAGCUUCGCCUCGAGUUCCCUUAACUGGGUGCCCGUGGGCGGCCACUGCGUUUACCUUGAAAAAAUUAGAGUGUUCAAGGCAGGUUUGGAAGCUCGAAUAUUUGUGCAUGGAAUAAUGGAAUAGGAUCUCGGUACUAUUUCGUUGGUCUUUGGUACUAAGGUAAUGAUUGAGAGGGACUGCCGGGGGCAUUAGUAUGGCGGCGUUAGAGGUGAAAUUCUUGGAUCGUCGCCAGACUAACAACAGCGAAAGCAUUUGCCAAGAAUGUCUUCAUUAAUCAAGAACGAAAGUCAGAGGUUCGAAGACGAUCAGAUACCGUCGUAGUUCUGACCAUAAACGAUGCCAGCUAUAGCCCGGUGAGCGUUGUUCUUUAUGACCUUGUCGGGAUCCCCCGGAAAACCGAAGCUUUUGGGUUCCGGGGGAAGUAUGGUUGCAAAGCUGAAACUUAAAGGAAUUGACGGAAGGGCACCACCAGGAGUGGAGCCUGCGGCUUAAUUUGACUCAACACGGGAAAACUCACCCGGCCCGGACACCGCAAGGAUUGACAGAUUGAGAGCUCUUUCUCGAUUCGGUGGGUGGUGGUGCAUGGCCGUUCUUAGUUGGUGGAGUGAUUUGUCUGGUUAAUUCC